CAAUAGCGUAUAUUAAAGUUGUUGCAGUUAAAAAGCUCGUAGUUGAAUUUCUGUCAGGAGUGACCGGGCCUUUGGAUGAACUUCCAUUGUUUUUUGCUCUGUUUGUCAUCUCUAGACAUCCUGAAAUAUUUUUUAAAAAUAUUUCUCUUUUACUGUUAGCAAAAUAGAGUGUUCCAAGCAAAGCGUAGUUUUGAAUACACUAGAAUGGAAUAAUAAGAUAGGACUUUGGUGCUAUUUUGUUGGUUUGCACACCAAGGUAAUGAUUAAUAGGGACAGUUGGGGGUAUUCGUAUUUAAUUGUCAGAGGUGAAAUUCUUGGAUUUAUGAAAGACGAACUACUGCGAAAGCAUUUACCAAGGAUGUUUUCAUUAA
rnacentral:rRNA from 1 species